rnacentral:rRNA from 1 species
CCUACGGGUGACUGCAGUGGGGAAUAUUGCGCAAUGGGCGAAAGCCUGACGCAGCGACGCCGCGUGAGGGAUGAAGGUCUUCGGAUCGUAAACCUCUGUCAGUAGGGAAGAACGGUCACUGUGCUAAUCAGCAGUGAAUUGACGGUACCUGCAAAGGAAGCACCGGCUAACUCCGUGCCAGCAGCCGCGGUAAUACGGAGGGUGCGAGCGGUAAUCGGAAUUACUGGGCGUAAAGGGCUCGUAGGCGGUAUGUCAAGUCAAGGGUGAAAGCCCCGGGCUCAACGUGGGAACUGCCUUUGAAACUGGCAGACUGGAGUGUGUGAGAGGAGAGUGGAAUUCCAGGUGUAGGAGUGAAAUCCGUAGAUAUCUGGAGGAACAUCAGUGGCGAAGGCGACUAUCUGGCACAUGACUGACGCUGAGGAGCGAAAGCGUGGGUAGCAAACAGGAUUAGAUACCCCUGUAGUC